AUUGAACGCUGGCGGCAGGCCUAACACAUGCAAGUCGAGCGGCAGCGGGAAAGUAGCUUGCUACUUUUGCCGGCGAGCGGCGGACGGGUGAGUAAUGCCUGGGGAUCUGCCCAGUCGAGGGGGAUAACAGUUGGAAACGACUGCUAAUACCGCAUACGCCCUACGGGGGAAAGGAGGGGGACCUUCGGGCCUUUCGCGAUUGGAUGAACCCAGGUGGGAUUAGCUAGUUGGUGGGGUAAUGGCUCACCAAGGCGACGAUCCCUAGCUGGUCUGAGAGGAUGAUCAGCCACACUGGAACUGAGACACGGUCCAGACUCCUACGGGAGGCAGCAGUGGGGAAUAUUGCACAAUGGGGGAAACCCUGAUGCAGCCAUGCCGCGUGUGUGAAGAAGGCCUUCGGG
rnacentral:rRNA from 1 species